GGUUCAGUGGUGGAAUUGGUAUACACGCGACACUUAAAAUGUCGUGCCUAAAAGGCAUGUGGGUUCGAGUCCCACCUGAACCA
rnacentral:tRNA from 1 species